rnacentral:lncRNA from 1 species
ACUCGGCCCUCCCCGGCGGCCUCCAGGCGGGACGCGGCGUCGGCGCCUGAAGUUGGGGCUCCGUCCUGCCUCCCUGCGGGCCGGGAAAAGGGUCUCGCACGUGCGCCCCCCGCGGUCCGCGAUCCCCAGCCGUCGGCCUAGCCCCAGGCGGGUCGAUCCCGCUGUCCCCAGCCCCGGACCAGCCUCCUCCAGCUGCCGGGUGGAGAGGCUGGGGGGCUUUUCCCGAGGUCGGCGGCGAGGCUGAGAGCCCCGGCCCCGCCGCGCCCGAGGAGACAGCCCUUCGCGGGCUCUAAAGGCCCCGGGGCCUCCGGGAUGUUCCGGGGCCGAGUUGUGCCUGUUGCCGUUUCCGGCGCCCGGGGCCUCCGGGAUGUUCCGG